rnacentral:lncRNA from 1 species
UCAUUCUAACCCCAGAUUCCUUAAAAAUAGAAGCUUAAUGGGUGGGGCAUCAGGGAGAACAGGUGUGCACAUAUCUGUUUUUUCCGUUUUGUUGACAUAUCAUGGGGGAAGGGAGAGUGUGCUUGGGAAAUAAGUGAGCUGCUGUAAGCUCAUGAUAACACCUGUUAUCAGAGUGGUUUCAUGCUCUGUGGAUGCUGUUUCCACAGCUAUAACAUGGGAGUAACAGCUGUAUUUUUGUUACUUUUAAACAUACCUGAAAUCUGGACUCACGUUUGAAUGAAUAGAGCACACAGUGCUGUCUGUGAUUUGUGUCCGGUGUGUCCAGAAGACGGAGGCUGAAGAUCUCUUGGCUGAGCAGUGUGCCAUGAUCCGUGGCAGUUCAGGGAGGCUUUGUGGAACCUUAUCGUUUUAUUGCAGAUCCUUUUUAAACUGUAGACUGUAAAACAGCAAACUUGGGUCAGCUCUGAGUUCUAGUUUUGUCCCUUGGG